rnacentral:tRNA from 1 species
GUCGAUAUGGUGCAAAGGGUAACACUGCCGCCUCGUAGUAUGCCGCGGCAGCUCAGGGUUCAAUUCCCUGCGUCUGACU